GAUGAACGCUGGCGGCGUGCCUAAUACAUGCAAGUCGAGCGAACAGACGAGGAGCUUGCUCCUCUGACGUUAGCGGCGGACGGGUGAGUAACACGUGGAUAACCUACCUAUAAGACUGGGAUAACUUCGGGAAACCGGAGCUAAUACCGGAUAAUAUAUUGAACCGCAUGGUUCAAUAGUGAAAGACGGUUUUGCUGUCACUUAUAGAUGGAUCCGCGCCGCAUUAGCUAGUUGGUAAGGUAACGGCUUACCAAGGCGACGAUGCGUAGCCGACCUGAGAGGGUGAUCGGCCACACUGGAACUGAGACACGGUCCAGACUCCUACGGGAGGCAGCAGUAGGGAAUCUUCCGCAAUGGGCGAAAGCUUGACGGAGCAAUGCCGCGUGAGUGAUGAAGGUCUUCGGAUCGUAAAACUCUGUUAUUAGGGAAGAACAAAUGUGUAAGUAACUAUGCACGUCUUGACGGUACCUAAUCAGAAAGCCACGGCUAACUACGUG
rnacentral:rRNA from 1 species